rnacentral:rRNA from 1 species
AUUGAACGCUGGCGGCAGGCCUAACACAUGCAAGUCGAGCGGUAGAGAGGUGCUUGCAUCUCUUGAGAGCGGCGGACGGGUGAGUAAUGCCUAGGAAUCUGCCUAGUGGUGGGGGAUAACGUUCGGAAACGGACGCUAAUACCGCAUACGUCCUACGGGAGAAAGCGGGGGAUCUUCGGACCUCGCGCCAUUAGAUGAGCCUAGGUCGGAUUAGCUAGUUGGUGAGGUAAUGGCUCACCAAGGCGACGAUCCGUAACUGGUCUGAGAGGAUGAUCAGUCACACUGGAACUGAGACACGGUCCAGACUCCUACGGGAGGCAGCAGUGGGGAAUAUUGGACAAUGGGCGCAAGCCUGAUCCAGCAAUGCCGCGUGAGUAAU